rnacentral:rRNA from 1 species
UGGAACUUCUCCUGAUGUUACGGCGGACGGGUGAGUACACGUGGGUAACCUGCCUGUAAGACUGGGAUAACUCCGGGAAACCGGGGCUAAUACCGGAUGCUUGUUUGAACCGCAUGGUUCAAACAUAAAAGGUGGCUUCGGCUACCACUUACAGAUGGACCCGCGGCGCAUUAGCUAGUUGGUGAGGUAAUGGCUCACCAAGGCAACGAUGCGUAGCCGACCUGAGAGGGUGAUCGGCCACACUGGGACUGAGACACGGCCCAGACUCCUACGGGAGGCAGCAGUAGGGAAUCUUCCGCAAUGGACGAAAGUCUGACGGAGCAACGCCGCGUGAGUGAUGAAGGUUUUCGGAUCGUAAAGCUCUGUUGUUAGGGAAGAACAAGUACCGUUCGAAUAGGGCGGUACCUUGACGGUACCUAACCAGAAAGCCACGGCUAACUACGUGCCAGCAGCCGCGGUAAUACGUAGUGGCAACGUGUCCGAAAUUUUU